UGGGAAGUAUUGCACAAUGGGCGCAAGCCUGAUGCAGCCAUGCCGCGUGUGUGAAGAAGGCCUUCGGGUUGUAAAGCACUUUCAGCGAGGAGGAAGGGUUCAGUGUUAAUAGCACUGUGCAUUGACGUUACUCGCAGAAGAAGCACCGGCUAACUCCGUGCCAGCAGCCGCGGUAAUACGGAGGGUGCAAGCGUUAAUCGGAAUUACUGGGCGUAAAGCGCACGCAGGCGGUUUGUUAAGUCAGAUGUGAAAUCCCGCCGCGCUUAACGUGGGAACUGCAUUUGAAACUGGCAAGCUAGAGUCUUGUAGA
rnacentral:rRNA from 1 species